rnacentral:rRNA from 2 species
UCAACAACGGAUCUCUUGGUUCUGGCAUCGAUGAAGAACGCAGCGAAAUGCGAUAAGUAAUGUGAAUUGCAGAAUUCAGUGAAUCAUCGAAUCUUUGAACGCACAUUGCGCCCGUCAGUAUUCUGGCGGGCAUGCCUGUUCGAGCGUCAUUACGCCCC